UAGGUUAACGAGGCGAACCGGGGGAACUGAAACAUCUAAGUACCCCGAGGAAAAGAAAUCAACCGAGAUUCCCCCAGUAGCGGCGAGCGAACGGGGAGCAGCCCAGAGUCUGAAUCAGCUUGUGUGUUAGUGGAACGGUCUGGAAAGUCCGACGGUACAGGGUGAUAGUCCCGUACACCAAAAUGCACAGGUUGUGAACUCGAAGAGUAGGGCGGGACACGUGGUAUCCUGUCUGAAUAUGGGGGGACCAUCCUCCAAGGCUAAAUACUCCUGACUGACCGAUAGUGAACCAGUACCGUGAGGGAAAGGCGAAAAGAACCCCGGCGAGGGGAGUGAAAAAGAACCUGAAACCGUGUACGUACAAGCAGUGGGAGCACCUUCGGGUGUGACUGCGUACCUUUUGUAUAAUGGGUCAGCGACUUAUAUUCUGUAGCAAGGUUAACCGUAUAGGGGAGCCGCAGGGAAACCGAGUCUUAACUGGGCGUUAAGUUGCAGGGUAUAGACCCGAAACCCGGUGAUCUAGCCAUGGGCAGGUUGAAGGUUGGGUAACACUAACUGGAGGACCGAACCGACUAAUGUUGAAAAAUUAGCGGAUGACUUGUGGCUGGGGGUGAAAGGCCAAUCAAACCGGGAGAUAGCUGGUUCUCCCCGAAAGCUAUUUAGGUAGCGCCUCGUGAACUCAUCUUCGGGGGUAGAGCACUGUUUCGGCUAGGGGGUCAUCCCGACUUACCAACCCGAUGCAAACUACGAAUACCGAAGAAUGUUAUCACGGGAGACACACGGCGGGUGCUAACGUCCGUCGUGAAGAGGGAAACAACCCAGACCGCCAGCUAAGGUCCCAAAGUCAUGGUUAAGUGGGAAACGAUGUGGGAAGGCACAGACAGCCAGGAUGUUGGCUUAGAAGCAGCCAUCAUUUAAAGAAAGCGUAAUAGCUCACUGGUCGAGUCGGCCUGCGCGGAAGAUGUAACGGGGCUAAACCAUGCACCGAAGCUGCGGCAGCGACACUAUGUGUUGUUGGGUAGGGGAGCGUUCUGUAAGCCUGCGAAGGUGACCUGUGAGGGUUGCUGGAGGUAUCAGAAGUGCGAAUGCUGACAUAAGUAACGAUAAAGCGGGUGAAAAGCCCGCUCGCCGGAAGACCAAGGGUUCCUGUCCAACGUUAAUCGGGGCAGGGUGAGUCGACCCCUA
rnacentral:rRNA from 1 species